GCUGGUUUAGCUCAGCAGGUAGAGCGCCUGAUUUGUAAUCAGGAUGGCAUGGGUUCGAAACCUGUAACCAGCA
rnacentral:tRNA from 1 species